GAGCAAGCAGAGCUGCCUGUAGAGGGGCCUUAGCAGGAAAGCACUCAACACAUUUUCGUGGUAGACCUAGUGGAGCCUGACGUGUAUGAAUAACUCAUAACUGGAGCCUGGCUAGUGAGGAGCUCAGAGCUGGCUUUGAAAACACCCUAGGGGUUCUCUCCGAGUGGCACGCUGAAAUGUGGCCACACCGGUUCAGGCUAUUUUAAGCUUCAGAAGCGAAGGGAGGCGAGAUGGGGUGAGCCAGAGGGCUCUGAGGGCGAGAUGAGUUCCAGACCAGCUUUCUCUGUGCCUCCAAGAAGAAACCAAGGCUCAGGGAAAGUAAGUACCUUGUCCAAGGGCCCAAGGAGACACAGCGGAGCUGGGAUUUGAAACCAGAUGGGAAAACUGAAGCUUGAAGAACUUAACAAAUCUGCCCGAGGACAUGCAAGGACAUGUAGUCAUCGCCAGCAGUGCCCAGACGGAACCCAGACCCUCUCCCUCCACGGCCCGGAUUCCUGCCUUUAUACUGAGCGCAGAUUUUAGUUCUCUGAAACCAUACCACAGGCUCUCGUGGGACACCUACUCCAAUCCCUCCUCAUUUUACACUGAGAAAACUGAGGCUCUCAAAGCUUGGGUGACUUGCUCAAGGUCACAUAGCUAAUGGCUGCAUGGGCCGGAAUCCAGAUUCUGGACUCUUCAGCUGUGUGUAAGCAAACUCUUAUUUCCUGACUCACAUCAUAAUCUCAGGGAUGUUUUAUCUUCCAUUCUAGCUAAUCUUCACUGGGCAGGGACUUCUACCACUUUGGCUUUAGGUUUCUCUAUCAGUUCACCUUACCCUCUGUCGUAGUUAAUGAGCUGUAACUGCACAAAGAGGAGACUGAGUCAGGGUUUCUGUAAUUGCGAGGGACACUUUGAUAAGGAGACCGCUUUUCAAAACACAAACCCUCCUGCAAUUCGGUGUUGACACCCACAAUCUUUUGCCACUGUGGUCCUGAGCACAGCUACACUAAAACUCGACAAAAUUCCUCUAGGUACCUCUUUGUAUUUUCCUUACAAACACUUGUUGGAAGGGGAGAGGGCGCCUGGGAGGGUAAGAAGUGGGAGAGACAAAAAGCCUAGAAUCUAGGAACCAAAAGGCAUUUGAUGUGAUUUGGCUUUUCUUGAGUAUUUUAGAUGAUCUAGGUUUUUAAAAAAAUUUUAAUUUUUAAUUGUGGUAAAGUAGAUGAUACAGUUCUAAAUAAUAUAAGUAUGGCAGAAAGCCACAUUUUAAUUCCUUGACUGACUCCUCCUUUUAUGAAAUUAACAAAUAUU
rnacentral:lncRNA from 1 species